rnacentral:rRNA from 1 species
GACGAACGCUGGCGGCGUGCUUAACACAUGCAAGUCGAACGGAAAGGCCCUGCUUUUGUGGGGUGCUCGAGUGGCGAACGGGUGAGUAACACGUGAGUAACCUGCCCUUGACUUUGGGAUAACUUCAGGAAACUGGGGCUAAUACCGGAUAGGAGCUCCUGCUGCAUGGUGGGGGUUGGAAAGUUUCGGCGGUUGGGGAUGGACUCGCGGCUUAUCAGCUUGUUGGUGGGGUAGUGGCUUACCACGGCUUUGACGGGUAGCCGGCCUGAGAGGGUGACCGGCCACAUUGGGACUGAGGUACGGCCCAGACUCCUACGGGCGGCAGCAGUGGGGAAUAUUGCACAGUGAGCGGAAGCCUGAUGCAGCAACGCCGCGUGCGGGAUGCCGGCCUUCGGGUUGUAAACCGCUUUCGCCUGUGACGAAGCGUGAGUGACGGUAAUGGGUAAAGAAGCACCGGCUAACUACGUG